rnacentral:misc_RNA from 1 species
GGAGUAAAAGUCGUAACAAGGUUUCCGUAGGUGAACCUGCGGAAGGAUCAUUAUUGUAUCCCCGAGGUGCGAGGGCUGUCGCUGACCCGAAAGGUCGUGCACGCCCGAGUGCCCUCACACACAUCCAUCUCACCCCUAUGUGCACCACCGCGUGGGUCCCCCUUUGGCUUGUUCGGAGGGGGGCUUACGUUUUCACACAAACUUUGUAUGCAGUGUAGAAUGUAUUUUUUGUUUUUGCGAUCACGCAAUCAAUACAACUUUCAACAACGGAUCUCUUGGCUCUC